AUCACUUCUCAACCUUUUGGCUAAGAUCAAGUGUAGUAUCUGUUCUUAUCAGUUUUUUAUCUAUCUACCUACCUAUAAUCAGAUAUAAAAGCAGAGAAGGUAAUGGCUUACUUGGUGCCAUUAUAGGAAUAACAGAUGUCUUGGACUGUGUCUUUAAUUAAGCCUAA
ensembl:snRNA U2 U2 spliceosomal RNA